UAGGGAAUCUUCGGCAAUGGACGAAAGUCUGACCGAGCAACGCCGCGUGAGUGAAGAAGGUUUUCGGAUCGUAAAACUCUGUUGUUAGAGAAGAACAAGGACGUUAGUAACUGAACGUCCCCUGACGGUAUCUAACCAGAAAGCCACGGCUAACUACGUGCCAGCAGCCGCGGUAAUACGUAGGUGGCAAGCGUUGUCCGGAUUUAUUGGGCGUAAAGCGAGCGCAGGCGGUUUCUUAAGUCUGAUGUGAAAGCCCCCGGCUCAACCGGGGAAGGUCAUUGGAAACUGGGAGACUUGAGUGCAGAAGAGGAGAGUGGAAUUCCAUGUGUAGAGGUGAAAUGCGUAGAUAUAUGGAGGAACACCAGUGGCGAAGGCGGCUCUCUGGUCUGUAACUGACGCUGAGGCUCGAAAGCGUGGGGAGCAAACAGG
rnacentral:rRNA from 1 species